GUAAGAUGCAGCCCUUCUCUCUCUUGUUCUUUAAGAGAGAGAAUUUUCUUCAGGACACGGUUCCUUUUAAUUUCUUGAGUUUUAUGCUCCCAUUUUGUCAUGCACAUCGAACUUCCUGUACCGCCAGGUUUCAGGAGUUAGAUCUCAUUCCAUCCUUCGCCGUCAACCAGCAAUGAUGAAGAAGGGCGUUGAGUUUUGCCAGUGAUGACUCGCAUAGAUUAUAGUCCCUAAAGGCAUAAAACGGCUGCCAAAAAGUCGAUCCAUCUCCAUCAUUGUUGUUGCUGUUAUAGAGAUCCCGUGGUUGUAUCCAAGGUUGCUCUUAAUAUGUUUGCAGGAAGAACGCUGGAGCUUGUGAGUUUCUGAAAAAUUUAGCAACUUUAUACUGUUGCGUGUCUUCUACGAGAUGAUUUUUUGGCAUUUUUUUAUGAUUAUAUUUGCUUCUGAGGAUAUACUUACUGGAGAUGAAAGUGCAACAACGCUACAACAAUAUGAUUGAUGGCCGGGCACUCGUUUUCCUGUCUGGGUUGACUCAGUUAGCCUAGGGACGUUUCUGGGUCUUUUAGGCUUGAAAAGUUUUCUUAUAACUGGACAGGACAGGCUUCUGAUUGUUAUGGUUUUGGACCAGCUUGAGCCCCUGUAAUAUAUUUCUCUUAGAA